AGCAGCAGCCGCGGGAAUACGGAGGGUGCAAGCGUUACUCGGAAUCACUGGGCGUAAAGGACGCGUAGGCGGAUUAUCAAGUCUCUUGUGAAAUCUAACGGCUCAACCGUUAAACUGCUUGGGAGACUGAUAAUCUAGAGUAAGGGAGAGGCAGAUGGAAUUCUUGGUGUAGGGGUAAAAUCCGUAGAUAUCAAGAAGAAUACCUAUUGCGAAGGCGAUCUGCUGGAACUUAACUGACGCUAAUGCGUGAAAGCGUGGGGAGCAAACAGGAUUAGAUACCCGCGUAGUCCCUGUCUCUUAUAC
rnacentral:rRNA from 1 species